rnacentral:rRNA from 1 species
GAGCACGUAGGUGGGUUUGUAAGUCAGAUGUGAAAGCCUCCUGUUCAACGGGUGAAUUGCAUCUGAAACUACAGAUCUUGAGUGUAGGAGGGGAGAAUGGAACUUCUGGUGGAGCGGUGAAAUGCGUAGAUAUCAGAAGGAACGCCGGCGGCGAAAGCGAUUCUCUGGCCUAUUACUGACACUCAGUGUGCGAAAGCUAGGGGAGCAAACGGGAUUAGAUACCCCGGUAGUCCUAGCCGUAAACGAUGGGCACUAAGUAGAGGGAAUUACCGAUAUUCUCUCUGCCGUAGCUAACGCAUUAAGUGCCCCGCCUGGGGAGUACGGCCGCAAGGCUAAAACUCAAAAGAAUUGACGGGGGCUCGCACAAGCGGUGGAGCAUGUGGCUUAAUUCGAUGCAACGCGAAGAACCUUACCGGGGCUUGACAUGGUAGAAGUAGGAACCCGAAAGGGUAACGAACGGUAUCCAGUCCGUAACUAUUACAGGUGUUGCAUGGCUGUCGUCAGCUCGUGUCGUGAGACGUUGGGUUAAGUCCCCUAACGAGCGAAACCCUUGUUUUUAGUUGCCAGCGGGUUAUGCCGGGCACUCUAGAAAGACUGCCGUCGUCAAGACGGAGGAAGGUGGGGACGACGUCAAGUCAUCAUGGCCCUUAUGCCCCGGGCUGCACACGUGCUACAAUGGUCGGUACAAACGGAAGCGAAGCCGAGAGGUGAAGCGAAUCC